rnacentral:rRNA from 1 species
UACGUAGGGUGCAAGCGUUAAUCGGAAUUACUGGGCGUAAAGCGUGCGCAGGCGGUUGCGCAAGACCGAUGUGAAAUCCCCGGGCUUAACCUGGGAAUGGCAUUGGUGACUGCACGGCUAGAGUGUGUCAGAGGGGGGUAGAAUUCCACGUGUAGCAGUGAAAUGCGUAGAGAUGUGGAGGAAUACCGAUGGCGAAGGCAGCCCCCUGGGAUAACACUGACGCUCAUGCACGAAGGCGUGGGGAGCAAACAGG